GCUGAAGCACCAGCUUGCUGGUGUGGAUGAGUGGCGAACGGGUGAGUAAUACGUGAGUAACCUGCCCUUGACUCUGGGAUAAGCCCGGGAAACUGGGUCUAAUACUGGAUGCUACAUGUCACCGCAUGGUGGUGUGUGGAAAGGGUUUACUGGUCUUGGAUGGGCUCACGGCCUAUCAGCUUGUUGGUGAGGUAAUGGCUCACCAAGGCGACGACGGGUAGCCGGCCUGAGAGGGUGACCGGCCACACUGGGACUGAGACACGGCCCAGACUCCUACGGGAGGCAGCAGUGGGGAAUAUUGCACAAUGGGCGAAAGCCUGAUGCAGCGACGCCGCGUGAGGGAUGACGGCCUUCGGGUUGUAAACCUCUUUCAGCAGGGAAGAAGCCACAAGUGACGGUACCUGCAGAAGAAGCGCCGGCUAACUACGUGCCAGCAGCCGCGGUAAUACGUAGGGCGCAAGCGUUGUCCGGAAUUAUUGGGCGUAAAGAGCUCGUAGGCGGUUUGUCGCGUCUGCUGUGAAAGCCCGGGGCUUAACCCCGGGUGUGCAGUGGGUACGGGCAGACUAGAGUGCAGUAGGGGAGACUGGAAUUCCUGGUGUAGCGGUGGAAUGCGCAGAUAUCAGGAGGAACACCGAUGGCGAAGGCAGGUCUCUGGGCUGUUACUGACGCUGAGGAGCGAAAGCAUGGGGAGCGAACAGGAUUAGAUACCCUGGUAGUCCAUGCCGUAAACGUUGGGCACUAGGUGUGGGGGACAUUCCACGUUUUCCGCGCCGUAGCUAACGCAUUAAGUGCCCCGCCUGGGGAGUACGGCCGCAAGGCUAAAACUCAAAGGAAUUGACGGGGGCCCGCACAAGCGGCGGAGCAUGCGGAUUAAUUCGAUGCAACGCGAAGAACCUUACCAAGGCUUGACAUAUACC
rnacentral:rRNA from 1 species